rnacentral:rRNA from 1 species
UACGUAGGUGGCGAGCGUUGUCCGGAUUUACUGGGCGUAAAGAGCGCGCAGGCGGUCGAUCAAGUCGGAUGUGAAAGCCCCCGGCUCAACUGGGGAGGGUCAUUCGAUACUGGUCGACUCGAAGGCAGGUGAGGGAAGCGGAAUUCCCGGUGUAGUGGUGAAAUGCGUAGAUAUCGGGAGGAACACCAGUGGCGAAGGCGGCUUCCUGGCCUGUUCUUGACGCUGAGGCGCGAAAGCUAGGGGAGCAAACGGG